rnacentral:tRNA from 1 species
UCUUUAGCUCAGUGGUAGAGCAUUUGCCUGGUAUGUGAGGGGUUCUGGGUUUGAUCUCCAGCACUUAAAAAA